rnacentral:misc_RNA from 1 species
UUUCCGUAGGUGAACCUGCGGAAGGAUCAUUACAGAGUUCAUGCCCUCACGGGUGGAUCUCCCACCCUUGAAUAUUUAUACCUUAGUUGCUUUGGCAGGCCGUGGAAACACCAUGGGCUCCGGCUUAUGCGUGCCUGCCAGAGGAAACAAACUCUGUUUUUAGUGAUGUCUGAGUACUAUAUAAUAGUUAAAACUUUCAACAACGGAUCUCUUGGUUCUG